GAAAUGCGAUACGUAGUGUGAAUUGCAGAAUUCAGUGAAUCAUCAAACCUUUGAACGCACCUUGCGCCUGAGGCUAUACCUCAGGCAUGCCUGUUUGAGUGUCGUUUAAAAAUACUCACACAAACCCCUAAACAGGGGAAUGGGUGGUCCUGAGCGUUGGGAGCACUGCUCUCGUCGCUUGAAAUGCAGUGGAGAAUGGGGUGCCUUCUGUCGCCUUGUCGAACACGGCUCCAAUUGGUGUCUUAGUGUGCCCAGCACAUUUCCAGCAUCAAUAAGGCUGAUGGACCAAGGCGCAGUCUUUGGCUGCCUUCCGACCCGCACCGGCGUCCUUGACGUCCUUUUAAACCUGCGACCUCAAAUCAGGCAGAGCUACCCGCUGAAUUUAA
rnacentral:misc_RNA from 1 species